ACCCUGGGAUGCCAUUACCAUCUUACUGGGCAGCAUUGGAUGUUUUCUGUGUUUCUAAUACUGCCUGGUAAUGAUGAUUAUGGUGUCUCGCAC
ensembl:miRNA